GCCAGGAGAGGUGGUGCAUUCCUGUAAUCGCAGCGGCUCGGGAGGCUGAGGCAGGAGGAUCCUGAGUUUAAAGCCAGCCUCAGCAACAGUGAGGCACUAAGCAACUCAGUGAGACCCUGUCUCUA
rnacentral:sRNA from 1 species